CGUCCCUUGAGAAACUGGCAGGCACAGUGCCACAUUUUCAAAACUCUAUUCCUUUCCAAAUUGAAUUCCCUCAACCGUUUAGGAGUCCAUCAAAUGACAUAGGGCAGUGUUCAUAAAUUUGGAGUUUGCUCUGUUUUCUUUGCAAUCUGAGUGUUUGAAGUAAUGACUAUAAUCCAGAGAAGCUGUUGUGUUACAAAUGGACAAGGCAAGCUGCAGUACGGCCUGUAGUCAUGGAGAAAGCUCUCUAUCCAUGAUGAUAAACUUUCCCUGACACAGAGAACCAAUACCCAAGGAUACAAGAGGAGGUAUCCACCACUGAUGUCACCCAAGAUUGAUCCUUUCUCGCAGUUGAGUCGACAGUGCCAAUAUUCUGCAGGAGUGCAAGGCAGGAUUGGUGUCCCCCCUCAUGGAUGUUCACCAUUGACUGCUGAAGCAUAGUUUACAGAGUGCUGCAUCGGAAGAAAAGCAUCUGCUCCUGUAAAGACGCCUCUGCAUAAAGCUUCCUCCCUCCCUCACAGAGAUACAGAGCUUUCUCUCUCACGUGUUCCUGGCUCAUGUUGGGUGGUGGAAUGAACGCAGCGGCUGCUAACUCUGGCCCGAUGCCACUCUGCUGCCAGGCUCUUGAUCUUGCUCUUGCUGCCCUGCCCAGACAGGUGGUAGCCUGGGGGUGAAAGAGGGGCUGGGUUCACUGAGCUGUGUAGAAGACCUUUGGUUUGUCCUUUUGUUGACUGUGCAGACCCCUGUGCACAGGAGUGUUAUCAGCUGGCUGUCGAAAACUCCCACCUACCUGCCAGAACCCCUGCCACCUCUCCACAACACUUCCCGGUGUUAAUUAAAGAGGGAUAUGGCACAGGCGCCACAGCAAAUACCAUCCUCUCUGAGAGGGGUCCUAUUCCCUUUGCUCUGGAUCUAUGAUGUUAAUCUAUACGUUGAUUUAGGACUGGUCUGCAUUUUAAUUCACACGGGGAGGUCUGCUACAUAGAUGACUUAAUGAAUAUUAGAAUAUGAUCAAAACACAAGGAGCACAUUUGGAUUUAUACCUUUUCAUUUAUGAAGCUAAACAAACUUUUAAUUGUAUUUUAAUGCAGUGAUGCUUGUGCCGUAUUUUGGGGUGCUAGUAGUCAUUACAGAUCACUAACCUUGAGUUUUUAUGGUAUUGAUUUUAAGUGUUAGGGUUUCUCAUAAGCAUGCAAACAUUCAUGUGCUCAUGCAUGCAUGAUACAGCACCCUUAGCCCACACACAAACAUGCACACAUUCACACAGAUUGAGAGCUCUGUGAAACCACCUAUCAACCCAUUAUGCACAUGGCAGAGUAAAGCGAUCCACUAUAAGUGCAUUGAUCCUCCAGGCCUCACUCAGUGUGAUGAAGACCCGGGCCUAGUGAUAACAUUUCACAGCCAGACAAGCCACUACUACGAUACAGCACAUGGCUGAAUGGACAGUAAGGAGCUGACUCACAGUGUUGGUAGGAAAAACAGCAGAUCAUGGACUGAUUGAGCCGAAUAUCUUAAGGCAAUUGAAGAGAACUUGAAUAGGUCUAUAAAGAAAUCAUACUAGCAAUUCCACUGUUUCUCUAGGAGAUGAUUACAGGCUUGGCUGCAUUGUGAAGUACAUUAAGUCACACAAAAUGGAAAUCUCAGCAUCUCUUGAUAUGUCUACCACUCACAUUGAGGAACACACUCCGGAUUCAAGGGGUGCAAGAGCGUGAGAUUGAAAAUGGUACGGAUACUCAUUGAAGGUGUCUGGAGGCAAGGCCCAAGUAAAUCUGGAUGAUGUUUGCCUUUUAUCAAAGUUGACUUUUUACUAAUGCCACAGGGAGGUGGCUGCAUCAAAAUGCCUCUAUUCUUAGGGGAAAUGUGCAGUGAACUCGUCUGGCAUCUCACCAUAAGAAGCUAUGCUGCCCUUUAAAGGAGCCACAUUUAUAUAGUUUUUAAAAAACCCACGGCUAAGAAGAUGUAAAUAGCCAAGCACGACAUAGUUGCUGUCACACUGCCCUUGGAUGAAGAAUAUCUGUCUGGCAGACAGUGGCCCCUGGGUGAACCUGGCAUUUGAUGCAAUUUGUCUGGUCCCAGGGCUGAAUACACAGUAAAGGUUUAUUCUUGGUCAGUGCUCCAUUAGAGCGUCAGAUUUGUAUUCUUUGUUGUGUUGGUUUUAUCUGUAUAAUAAUGUACCUUCGUAUUGAAUGGUUUAAUUUGGGUUUUAAGGCUUCUCAAGAUGAAUAAGAGUCUAAAAAAGCUUUCAAUAAUGUACUUCAAUGUAAUGUCUGUGGAGUGACAAGCACCAUAUAAACUACUGUAAAAUGCCAUCAGUGGUUUUAUACAUCACAGUGCAGAAUCCAUCUGCAGGGUAUGUUGAACUUUACAGGGUGUUUUCUCCCAUGCUGACAGCAACAUGCAAAAGAAAUCAGCUUGGACAGAAUGAAGGCUUUCAUACAAAAAAGGUUUCAUUGAAAGAUAUUUUACAUGAUGUCACAUGAUAUUUUA